rnacentral:rRNA from 1 species
GACGAACGCUGGCGGCGUGCCUAAUACAUGCAAGUUGAGCGCUGAAGGUUGGUACUUGUUCCGCCUGGAUGAGCAGCGAACGGGUGAGUAACGCGUGGGUAAUCUGCCUUUGAGCGGGGGACAACAUUUGGAAACGAAUGCUAAUACCGCAUAAAAACUUUAAACACAAGUUUUAAGUUUGAAAGAUGCAAUUGCAUCACUCAAAGAUGAUCCCGCGUUGGAUUAGCUAGUUGGUGAGGGAAAGGCUCACCAAGGCGAUGAUACAUAGCCGACCUGAGAGGGUGAUCGGCCAAAUUGGGACUGAGAAACGGCCCAAACUCCUACGGGAGGCAGCAGUAGGGAAUCUUCGGCAAUGGACGAAAGUCUGACCGAGCAACGCCGCGUGGGUGAAGAAGGUUUUCGGAUCGUAAAACUCUGUUGGUAGAGAAGAACGUUGGUGAGAGUGGAAAGCUCAUCAAGUGACGGUAACUACCCAGAAAGGGACGGCUAACUACGUG